rnacentral:rRNA from 1 species
GACGAACGCUGGCGGCGUGCUUAACACAUGCAAGUCGAACGGUGAAGCGAGUGCUUGCACUCGUGGAUCAGUGGCGAACGGGUGAGUAACACGUGAGUAACCUGCCCAUCACUCUGGGAUAAGCACUGGAAACGGUGUCUAAUACUGGAUACGACCAACCCUUGCAUGGGGUGUUGGGGGAAAGAUUUAUCGGUGAUGGAUGGACUCGCGGCCUAUCAGCUUGUUGGCGGGGUAAUGGCCCACCAAGGCGACGACGGGUAGCCGGCCUGAGAGGGUGACCGGCCACACUGGGACUGGGACACGGCCCAGACUCCUACGGGAGGCAGCAGUGGGGAAUAUUGCACAAUGGGCGAAAGCCUGAUGCAGCGACGCCGCGUGAGGGAUGACGGCCUUCGGGUUGUAAACCUCUUUCAGCAGGGAAGAAGCGAAAGUGACGGUACCUGCAGAAGAAGCACCGGCUAACUACGUG